ACAUCCUGGGACCUUCUGAACUAAACUGGAUGGGGUUAGACUGAGGUCACGCUGUAUUUUCUCUUCCCUGGAGACCACGUAGUAGUUCCAUAGGCUGCCAUUAGAUAGCAGCACAGUACACACCAUCAGUCAUGUCUCUCAUAGUCUCUCCCGUUAAGGUUGGAAUUAUCUCAUUUACACACACACACACACACACACAUACACACAGAGACAGAGAGAGAGAG
rnacentral:lncRNA from 1 species